UUAAUAUUAGUUAUGAAAUAUAUUUCAAGAAAUUUUAUAUCUAGUUUUUUAAGAGUAAAAGUUUAAUAGAAUAAUUUUUGUAAAAAUUAAUAUGGUUUAGCUUAUUAAUUUUAUAUACUGAUAGAAUUUUUUAACCUUAGUAAAUUUGAUAGUGUUUAUUUUAUAAAUUUAUAAUGGAGGGUAAUAUAAAUAAAAAUUUUUAUUUGUUAUUUUUUUAUUAAAAAAUUUAUUUAAAUUUUAGAGUUUUAUUUAUAAUGAAAAAAUUAGUAAAAAUUUAUUUAUAUUAAAAAAUAAUUAAUAAUUUAUAAUUGUUAUAAUUAUUAUAAAAAAUGAAUUCGGCAAAAAGUAUUAUUUGACUGUUUAGCAAAAACAUUGUUUCAUGAAGAAUAUAUGAAAUAAUGUCUGUCCACUGAUAUAUUUGAAGGACUGCAGUAUAUUGACUGUAUAAAAGUAGCAUAAUCAUUAGCUUUUUAAUUUGGGGUUGGUAUGAAGGCGAAACGGAUAAGUUCUUUAUUUUUUAUAAGUGUUUUAAGUUUAUUUUUAAGUGAAAAAUCUUAAUUAGAUGAGAGGGACAAGAAGACCCUAAUAAGUUUUAUUUUUCUUUUAUUUAUGUUAUAGGAAAAUUUAAUUAGAUAAUAUUAAAUUAGAAAUUUGGUUGGGGCGAUUAGUUAUAAAACAUAAUUUAUUUAUAAUUUUU
rnacentral:rRNA from 1 species